GCGCCGUUAGCUGAGGGGAUUAGCUCCGGUCUCUUAAACCGGUGACGUUGGUUCGAUUCCAACACGGCGUA
rnacentral:tRNA from 1 species